UACGGGGGGGGCAAGCGUUGUUCGGAAUUACUGGGCGUAAAGGGCUCGUAGGUGGCCAACUAAGUCGGACGUGAAAUCCCUCGGCUUAACCGGGGAACUGCGUCCGAUACUGGUUGGCUUGAGUUUGGGAGAGGGACGCGGAAUUCCAGGUGUAGCGGUGAAAUGCGUAGAUAUCUGGAGGAACACCGGUGGCGAAGGCGGCGUCCUGGACCAACACUGACACUGAGGAGCGAAAGCCAGGGGAGCAAACGGG
rnacentral:rRNA from 1 species